UACGGAGGGGGCUAGCGUUGUUCGGAAUUACUGGGCGUAAAGCGCGCGUAGGCGGACCUGCAAGUCGGGGGUGAAAGCCCGAGGCUCAACCUCGGAACUGCCUUCGAUACUGCGGGUCUCGAGUCCGGGAGAGGUGAGUGGAAUUCCUAGUGUAGAGGUGAAAUUCGUAGAUAUUCGGAAGAACAUCAGUGGCGAAGGCGGCUCACUGGACUGGUAUUGACGCUGAGGUGCGAAAGCGUGGGGAGCAAACAGG
rnacentral:rRNA from 1 species